rnacentral:rRNA from 1 species
UACAGAGGGUGCGAGCGUUAAUCGGAAUUACUGGGCGUAAAGCGUGCGUAGACGGCUAUUUAAGUCGGGCGUGAAAGCCCCGGGCUCAACCUGGGAAUUGCGUUCGAUACUGGAUAGCUAGAGUUCGGCAGAGGGAAGCGGAAUUUCGGGUGUAGCGGUGAAAUGCGUAGAUAUCCGAAGGAACAUCAGUGGCGAAAGCGGCUUCCUGGACCAGAACUGACGAUCAGGCACGAAAGCGUGGGGAGCAAACAGG